GGGCCAGUCGAGUGCAGCUGCUGUGCUCUCAGUGCCAUGCAGCUGCUUGUCCUAUACAACUGGCCAGAGUGUCUGCCAGGGUACGAGCCCCUACGCCUCACUGUGGUGCCUGGGGUCCCAAUGAAUGGCUACAUGU
rnacentral:snoRNA from 1 species